rnacentral:rRNA from 1 species
AACGAACGCAGGCGGCAUGUCUAACACAUGCACGUCGACCGAGCCAUUCGGGUCUAGUGGCGCACGGGUGCGUUACGAGAGGGAACAUGCCCUCAGGUUCGGAAUAACUCCCCGAAAGGGGUGCUAAUACCGGUUAAUGUCUUCGGACCAAAGAUCUAUCGCCCUUAGAUGGGCCCGCGUUCGCUUAGCUCGUUGGUAGGGUAAAAGCCUACCAAGGCGACGACCCAUAGCUGGUCUGCGAGGAUGAUCAGCCACACGGGGACUGUGACACGGCCCUGACUCCUACGGGAUGCAGCAGUGGGGAAUAUUGGACAAUGGGCGAAAGCCUGAUCCAGCAAGGUCGCGUGAGUGUUGAAGGCCUUAGGGUUGUAAAGCUCUUUUACCCGGGAUGAUAAUGACAGUACCGGGAGAAGAAGCACCGGCUAACUCCGUG